rnacentral:rRNA from 1 species
AGUGUAUGUGGUGGAUGCCUUGGCGAUCACAGGCGAUGAAGGACGUGACAGCCUGCGAAAAGCUGUGGGGAGCUGGCAAAUAAGCUUUGAUCCACAGAUGUCCGAAUGAGGGAACUCACCUGCUUUGCAGGUAUCCCAUCCUGAAUAUAUAGGGAUGGGAGGCGAACGAAGCGAACUGAAACAUCUAAGUAGCUUCAGGAAAAGAAAUCAACCGAGAUUCCGAAAGUAGCGGCGAGCGAAAUCGGAUCAGCCCAGCACUCGAUAGCAGCCAACUUACGGGAACGGUCUGGAAAGUCCGGCCAUAGAGGGUGAUAGCCCCUUACUGGAAAAGGCAGCUGUGGUACUAAGUGUGCGAUAAGUAGAGCGGGACACGUGACAUCCUGCUCGAAGAUGGGGGGACCAUCCUCCAAGGCUAAAUACUCGUGAUCGACCGAUAGCGUACCAGUACUGUGAAGGAAAGGUUAAAAGAACCCCGGGAGGGGAGUGAAAUAGAUCCUGAAACCGCAUACAUACAAACAGUAGGAGCCUCGUUAAGGGGUGACUGCGUACCUUUUGCAUAAUGGGUCAGCGACUUACGUUUAAUGGCGAGCUUAACCGUAUAGGGGAGGCGCAGCGAAAGCGAGUUCGAACAGAGCGUUCAGUCGUUAGGCGUAGACCCGAAACCAGAUGAUCUAUCCAUGGCCAGGUUGAAGGUGUGGUAACACACACUGGAGGACCGAACCGACUAGUGUUGCAAAAUUAGCGGAUGAGCUGUGGAUAGGGGUGAAAGGCUAAACAAAUCUGGAGAUAGCUGGUUCUCCCCGAAAACUAUUGAGGUAGUGCCUCGUGUAUGACUCCAGGGGGUAGAGCACUGUUAUGGCUAGGGGGACAUGGCGUCUUACCAAACCAUGGCAAACUCCGAAUACUUGGAAGUUUGAGCACGGGAGACAGAGCACCGGGUGCUAACGUCCGGACUCAAGAGGGAAACAACCCAGACCGCCGGCUAAGGUCCCUAAUAUUGACUAAGUGGAAAACGAAGUGGAAAGGCUAAGACAGUCAGGAAGUUGGCUUAGAAGCAGCCAUCCUUCAAAGAAAGCGUAAUAGCUCACUGAUCGAGUCUUUCUGCGCGGAAGAUGUAACGGGGCUAAGUCAAUAACCGAAGCCGCGGAUUCACACUUGUGUGUGAGUGGUAGGGGAGCGUUCUGUAAGCCUGCGAAGGUGACUCGUAAGGGUUGCUGGAGGUAUCAGAAGUGCGAAUGCUGACAUGAGUAACGUUAAAGCGGGUGAAAAGCCCGCUCGCCGUAAGCCCAAGGUUUCCUGCUCUACGUUCAUCGGAGCAGGGUGAGUCGGCCCCUAAGGUGAGGCUGAGAAGCGUAACUGAUGGGAACAAGGUUAAUAUUCCUUGACCACCGCUGAAUGCGAAGGGGGGACGGAGUAUUGAAGAUCAUCCGGGUGUUGGAUAUCCCGGUUUGCGAGCGUAGGAGGCUGACAGGCAAAUCCGUCAGCGAAUCUCCGAGGCAAAGCAUCGAGCUCUCUUUUGAGCGAAGUGAUUGGAUGUGCUUCCAGGAAAAGCCUCUAAGCUCCAGUUCAGCGGGACCGUACCGCAAACCGACACUGGUGGGCGAGCUGAAUAUGCUCAGGCGCUUGAGAGAACUCAGGAGAAGGAACUCGGCAAAUUGACACCGUAACUUCGGGAUAAGGUGUGCCUUUGUAGCGUGGAGGGAGAAACACCCCGAGCGCGAAGAGGUCUCAGAUAAUCGGUGGCUGCGACUGUUUAUUAAAAACACAGCACUCUGCAAAGACGAAAGUCGACGUAUAGGGUGUGAUGCCUGCCCGGUGCUGGAAGAUUAAUUGAUGGGGUGCAAGCUCCUGAUCGAAGUCCCAGUAAACGGCGGCCGUAACUAUAACGGUCCUAAGGUAGCGAAAUUCCUUGUCGGGCAAGUUCCGACCUGCACGAAUGGCAUAACGAUGGCCACACUGUCUCCUCCUGAGACUCAGUGAAGUUGAAGUGUUUGUGAUGAUGCAAUCUCCCCGCGGCUAGACGGAAAGACCCCAUGAACCUUUACUGUAGCUUUGCAUUGGACUUUGAACCGAUCUGUGUAGGAUAGGCGGGAGCCUGUGAAACCACAACGCCAGUUGUGGCGGAGGCGUCCUUGAAAUACCGCCCUGAUUG